GUAGGGAAUCUUGCGCAAUGGGCGAAAGCCUGACGCAGCCAUGCCGCGUGAAUGAUGAAGGUCUUAGGAUUGUAAAAUUCUUUCACCGGGGACGAUAAUGACGGUACCCGGAGAAGAAGCCCCGGCUAACUUCGUGCCAGCAGCCGCGGUAAUACGAAGGGGGCUAGCGUUGCUCGGAAUUACUGGGCGUAAAGGGAGCGUAGGCGGAUAGUUUAGUCAGAGGUGAAAGCCCAGGGCUCAACCUUGGAAUUGCCUUUGAUACUGGCUAUCUUGAGUAUGGAAGAGGUAUGUGGAACUCCGAGUGUAGAGGUGAAAUUCGUAGAUAUUCGGAAGAACACCAGUGGCGAAGGCGACAUACUGGUCCAUUACUGACGCUGAGGCUCGAAAGCGUGGGGAGCAAACAGGAUUAGAAACCAGUGUAGUCC
rnacentral:rRNA from 1 species